AGGCAGAGUGAGGAGACGCUGCCAGCCGCCACGAUGAGGAGCGGGAUGUAAAGUACCGCAGAUUACAUUGUGGAUAAACCCACUCUGGAAGGUUACUGCAGUUUUUAUGCACCGGUCUGCCAGCUGUAUAGAAUGCCUAAAGGAAAAGUAGCUGCCAAUGGUUUCAGAUGUCAGGACUUGUACCCAAGGAUCAAGGUCUCCUUGUCUGCAGCCUUUAGCAGAACCAAGAAAACGAACAGAAAGGCAAACCCAGGUCUUCCAGACGCGCUCCCGGUGGUAAUCAUGGCUUUGUCUAGUCUAAGCUGUGGAAGUAGAUUUUAACUCUGUCUGCCUUGCAAACCAAAAACCAGGCUGAGGGGGGGGGGGUUAUACCUUCUGGCUUAUGCUCUGGAUGUUUGCCACGCGAUACGUUUUCUCGUGGCCUUGGAUGGACUUUCUGGUGCGGCCCUUCUGCAUUUCUACUUCUUCAGCCGGAAGAACUUACAAAGAGAUUGCUGUCCCCUCCCCACCAAUAAAAACCCUGAAAG